rnacentral:sRNA from 19 species
GUGUAGGAUGCGUUAUCUUUGAAAAUAUGACUAUAGACGGUCGUGAUUUGAUUAUAUCAUCGUGUUUGUUCAUGUGCAAUAUAAAAGAACCUGGAGGUUUUCCAGGUUCUUUUUUUU